UCAGGAUGAACGCUAGCGGCAGGCUUAACACAUGCAAGUCGAGGGGCAUCGGGAGUAGCAAUACUUGCCGGCGACCGGCGCAAGGGUGCGUAACGCGUGAGCAACAUGCCCGUAUCAGGGGGAUAAUCCAUGGAAACGUGGUCUAAUACCCCAUAGUAAUUAUGUAAGGCAUCUUAUAUAAUUUAAAGCUUUGGUGGAUACGGAUUGGCUCGCGUGACAUUAGCUGGAUGGUAAGGUAACGGCUUACCAUGGCUACGAUGUCUAGGGGUUCUGAGAGGAAGGUCCCCCACACUGGAACUGAGACACGGUCCAGACUCCUACGGGAGGCAGCAGUGAGGAAUAUUGGACAAUGGAUGGAAAUCUGAUCCAGCCAUGCCGCGUGCCAGGAAGACGGCCCUAUGGGUUGUAAACUGCUUUUGUAUGGGAGCAAUAAGGGCUACGUGUAGUCCGAUGAGAGUACCAUACGAAUAAGCACCGGCUAACUCCGUGCCAGCAGCGGC
rnacentral:rRNA from 1 species